rnacentral:rRNA from 1 species
UACGGAGGGUGCGAGCGUUGUCCGGAAUCACUGGGCGUAAAGGGCGCGUAGGCGGCUUUUUAAGGGUGCGGUGAAAGCCCGGGGCUUAACCCCGGGUCGGCCGUGCCGACUAAAAAGCUGGAGCACUGUAGAGGCAGGUGGAAUUCCGGGUGUAGCGGUGGAAUGCGUAGAGAUCCGGAAGAACACCAGUGGCGAAGGCGGCCUGUUGGGCAGUUGCUGACGCUGAGGCGCGACAGCGUGGGGAGCAAACAGG